rnacentral:lncRNA from 13 species
CUAUGCCAGGUGGAAGAAAAUAAAAAACAGUAGACAAGCCAAAAUAAUUUACAUAAAACACAAUGAAAAGUGGCUGAGAAGAGGACAAUUUAGGAAAAUGAUCUCUCCAGGAAUGCUGCCAAGAGGAUGAAUCACUUCAAUUGAAUCUUAAAGAAAGAGUGUGACGCUACUAAGUGGACAAAGAGUGUGAAGGAGAAUAUUUCAGUUAUGUGCUAUUAUAAACAGGAGAGCACAGCAUUGGAAGAGCAGAAGUCAAACCUCUUCUGAAUAAUGGCUAAUAAUGGCCAGAUAUGUAACUUCUCCAGAU